AUGGCUGGUGGCUUGGAGUUUGAGCUGGACUGCAUGAUCUUCUUUAUGAUUCAGCCCAACUCCCCUUAUCUGGCUGAGUGGUCCCACCUACCGGGAAAUUUCCACAGGGAUUCAUAUGAAUUUAUCGCAACUGAACCAAGUCCUGUCAUCAUCUGCUGCAAAAGGGCUGAUCAGGUUCUGAGAGAAAAGUCUAAAUUUUCUGGAUCCAAACAAGGACCACAGGUUUGGAUAGCAAUUCUUGAUUCAUGGAGGAGGUUUCCAGCUGAAAUGUGCAGUCCUAAGGAGAAACAAAAAUAUCAAUCAUCAGUUGGAAGGAACCCUACUGUUCUUCAAUCUGGGGCACUCAGCAGCAAAGAAGCGAAGAAACUUUUUUAUUUUGCUCUGCCAAGACUGGUGAGACUACUUACAGAAAAGGAAAAAGAAGGAAAUACAAAUUCACUGGCACUUCAUAAAUAUUAUUGUAGUUUUGUGGCGCAGUUUGAAGCAAAAAGACAUUGGGCAAUGCUGUUCAGAGGUGUACUAAUGUCCUCCUUUCUGAAACCAGGCUUCAGCUACCUACAUUUAAAAAGGACUGACCUUCAACCAAAUAUUUAA
rnacentral:lncRNA from 1 species